AUCACUAGUUGUGCCAGCAUCACAUCAGA
rnacentral:sRNA from 1 species